UACCUCCCAAGGCCACAACAAACCAUUCCAUGUUUCAGGAAGAGAUAUUCUGCAGCUGCUUCAGCAGCUGAGUGUGGAAUGGAGAUGGUUUGCUGUGGGACAGACCCGGUUUAGAUGAAGUUUUAGAGUCACUGUGUUCUUCACUAAGAAAACAAAUCUCUCUCCUCCUGUUUUCCUGUUUCUGAGCCCUGCUGCCACCACUGGGCUGGUGUGGCCCUGCCAGGCAUUGCAUUCCCCAGCCCUACAUCCCUCAUGGAAACCUGCAGCUCCCUGGCCUUGGGUCCCACCUCGUCCCUCUUGCACCAAGACAAUUCUUACUGUGGACAAAAAGCUUUUCCAGCCGUCCCUGAAGGCCCCAGAACUCAACUGCUGCUGCUGCCCAAACCCAGAAUCCAUCUCUGACAGGACUUCUUCCAUCCUGCAUAUGGCAAAUCCAUUGCCACAGCUCCUCCUUUUCUGUUUCCUAAAGCUGGAUAUGCUUUUAAUGAUUGAGAGGUUCUGGCACAACUGAGCAAGCAUGGAAAGACACACAUAAAGAGAAACACUGCGGAAAGUCCUAGUACCAUAACUACAAUAAUUUUCUUAAUAGUGGAAGAGAGGCCUUUGAAGGGCAGCCAGUUGAAAAAAUCAUCAAAGGUCAGAGGAUCAACUUGCUUGAUUUCAUGAACUAAGGACUUAAGCUGAUUAAUCUGGGAGUGGAUAGAUUGGGAGUGAUCAGAGAAGUUGAGGCAGCAGAGGCCUUCAAACUCCUGACACCCAUGGCCAUUUACUAGAAGGAGAAAAUCUAUUGCAGCACGAUUUUGUAACAAGGCCUUCUUAUUGGUUUGGGUAUCUUGUAAUAGAUCAUCAAGGGCAGCACUGGUGGCAUCAGCUUCUUUUGCAAGCCAACAUCCCAUUCUGGUAAGGAGCAUUAAGGCUUUUGUGGAGCUGACAACUGGAAGCAGACCACUUAGAAUGUUUGCG